rnacentral:misc_RNA from 1 species
GAUGAAGAACGCAGCAAAAUGCGAUAAGUAAUGUGAAUUGCAGAAUUCAGUGAAUCAUCGAAUCUUUGAACGCACAUUGCGCCCGCCAGUAUUCUGGCGGGCAUGCCUGUUCGAGCGUCGUUUCAACCCUCAAGCUCAGCUUGGUGUUGGGACUCGCGGUAACCCGCGUUCCCCAAAUCGAUUGGCGGUCACGUCGAGCUUCCAUAGCGUAGUAAUCAUACACCUCGUUACUGGUAAUCGUCGCGGCCACGCCGUAAAACCCCAACUUCUGAAUGUUGACCUCGGAUCAGGUAGGAAUACCCGCUGAACUUAAGCAUAUCAAUAAGCGGAGGA